GUUGGUUCUGCCAGGGUGAGAGGUUCUGGGGGCUCUGUGUGGGCCCUUGUUCUAGAAGGAAUGCUCACACCCCAGCAGCACGGGCACCUGCGCCGCAGCGACGACAGGAGUGGGCUCAGGGGGCUCCGGACAGGGUCCUCAGGGACUGCAGCAAGGGGCAGUUGGGAAAGAAAACGUCCAGGCCUUGGGAAUAGCACUGAGGGUCCCCCAGAUUGAUGACACCCCUGUGCGAGCCUCCCGUGGCUGCUGCAGCAGACCCCCAUGGCCGCAAACACUCCUGGGUUCCGGAGAGGCCCAGGGGGCACUCCAAUUUCCCGCCUUUCCCAGCUUCCAGGAUCUGCCGCAUCCCCGGUUCCAGGAGCUUCUCGUGUCUCAUGACUCUGACGCUCUCUGCCCCCUCUUCCGCUUUUAAGGACCCUGGGGGACAGUCCCCCGACGUCACAGGCAGCCUCGGCCUGGCCUCAGGGCCGCCUGCAACAUCCCCCUAGCCCCUGUUCCCCGGAGUCACGGCCCCCAGGGUAGGACGCGGACAUCCUUAAGGGGCUUUAGUCCGCCGACCAUUCCCUCGGUCUGCAAGCCUCAGGUCAAAGACCCCCAUCAAGCAGAGCCCCCAAAUGCAGGGGACCCUCUGCCAAGAGGAGGUGGGUGGCGGCCGGAAUGGGAAGAAAAGCGUCUGUCCUGCCCUCGGUGGGGGAAAGGGGUGGAGGGGGGGCAUCAGCCCCGGAGUGGCCGCGCGGGGCAGAGGCCGAACCCCCAGCGCAGCGCCUGUUCCGCUCCGGUCGCAGGUGGGGAGGGCGGCCGUCGCCAUGGAAACCCGGGGCUCUGAGCGCCGCAGCUCCUGACCGGGCGACGUUUGUUUUCUGCAAGAAAGAUACCCAGCCUUCCAGCGCCCGUGCUUCCGCUGAGAAAGUAAUAUUUUCCUGUCAACAUCGGUUUUUCCGUCGCCAGGACUUGAGGGCAAACACGGUGCUCCGAAGAGUGAAAGCUGGAUGCGCGGCGGGAGUUGGCCACCGGGGGGCGCCAGGGGCCCGCCAGGCGACUCGUUCCUCACCCCCCCCCCCCCCACCCCCUCAACCCGCCCAGGCCCAGGCCCGCUGCACAGCGGCGCCCCGGGGGAGGGGACGGCAGCUUCCUCGGGCAGUGGCAUCUCGUGGGGUCGUCCUGCUGGGCCCCCUGGAGCCACCGCGCGGGGUAGCGGUGGCCCGAAGGUGUGUCCUGAGUCAGACUUCUGGGGAGCAUCCCCUAGGCUGUCCUCAUGGUAAGGGAGGUGCAGAGGCCCCUACAGCAGACCCGCGCUCACCGGGUGACCGCGGGGACAUGGGGUGCACACGUGUGCAGGCACGCCUGCGUGCGCUGGUCAUUCAGUCUCAGGACAGAAGGCCCGGCAGAGAGAGUGUGGGAAGAAUUACGGGGGGGGGGGUGUGCAGCCCGUCCGCCUACGAUUCCCACCGAGCAGGCGGGCGGCCUCCAUGGACCCAUUCUUCUCCGAGGUUUUAACCAGGGGCUUGACCUCAGGGCUUUACUAGGAACUGGGGCCGUCAGCUCCUUCUCCCGGAGGGGGCGGGAGACCCCCCGCCAGCCCUGCCCCCGCCUGGCAGGCGGCCCGGCCUCAGGGUUUAGGAGGGAGCUGCGGAGAGAGUUUCAGUGACUGUUGUCAGGCCCUCAGCUAAUCGGUUUCGAGGCCAUACUUGCGGCCUUCUCUCAGUUUCUCUCAAUUUCUCCUCCUCGGCAGCGGCGGCUAGAAGAGGAAAUCAACUACAGCCCCUUCGUUCCACCUGGACGGACGGGGCCUUCACCCACUCGUGAGGGGUGGGCUUCAUGUCUCCGAGACAGGACCAAGGGCGAGCGCCGUGCUCCCCACCCACCUGUCCAGCCGGAACAUCCUGGGUCAGGGCAGCCCCCAUGGCCCCCGCCUGCCAGGCCCCCACUGGAACGAAGCCGCGGAGGGAGCCAGGGUCGCCGCGGCCACCCACCUGUACCAGUGAGCAGACUGCUCAGCCACGCGGCGUGGCACAUGCAACAGGGCACAGGGGGUCGGGAGGCAGAGGCCCAUCUCCGUCUCUCCCCCGCCCCCAGCACUGGGAGAGGCAGGGGGUGAGGAGGCUUCACCCAAGAGCCUCAGCCCAAGGGGCCUCCAGGGAGGGUUGGCCAGCUGGUCGGCAGCACCAGGCCUAACAGGACAGGUGGCCGAGGAUGCAGACGAACCAACCCAGGCGCUGCCCACUGUGUAGAAGGAGUCUCAAAAGAGGAGCACUAAGGGGGACAAGCCACCACCGCAGAACGGAGCACUGAUCCGGGUGGGCAGCAGAGCCGGUCUGGUGCUGUACCCCUCCACGUGGGAGUCAAGACUGGGGCCUCCCAGAGUGGACCCCGACUAUGAACUUUCUGGACUGGGGGAAAAGCAAAUGGCGCCCCAACAAGGAGCAGCCCGAAAAGGAAAUGAAGACGCCAAUUCCAUUUACCAAACGAGCAGAAUACCUUGGAACAGAUUUAACAAAGGAGGUGCAGACUUACACGCCGAGGACCACACGCGUCGCGGAAGGCAGAGCUGGC